rnacentral:rRNA from 1 species
CCCUUAGAUGUUCUGGGCCGCACGCGCGCUACACUGAUGCAUUCAACGAGUUUCUUCCUGGUCCGAGAGGAAUGGGUAACCUUUUGAAAGUGCAUCGUGAUAGGGAUAGACUAUUGCAAUUAUUGGUCUUCAACGAGGAAUUCCUAGUAGACGUAGUUCAUCAGACUGCAUCGAUUACGUCCCUGCCCUUUGUACACACCGCCCGUCGCUCCUACCGAUUGUAUGCUCAGGUGAGCCAUUCGGACUUUCAUCAUGCUGGUUUCCAGUUUUGAUGAAGGAAAGUCUUGCGAACCUUAUCAUUUAGAGGAAGGAGAAGUCGUAACA